CUCAAUGAAAUUAAAUAGCCGCAAUAUUUCUGUGCUAAGGUAGCAUAAUCAUUUGUCUUAUAAUUAAAGACUAGAACGAAAGAUUUAACAUUUUUAUUUCUCUCUAAUAUUUAAAUCUUUAAAUUAUUCUAAAUAUAAAAAAAUAUUUAUAUCUUAAAAAGACGACAAGACCCUAUUGAACUUUACUAAAGUUUAACUGGGGUAGUUAAUUAAAUAUAAUUUUAAUAUACAAUCAAAUAAUAACCUAAUAUAAUUAAAACAUCAAGUUACCAUAGGGAUAACAGCGCAAUAAUUUUCUUAAGUUCUUAUUAAAAAAAUUGAUUACGACCUCGAUGUUGAAUUAAUAUUCUAUUGAGUGCAAUAACCCAAUAAGAAAGUCUGUACGAC
rnacentral:rRNA from 1 species